rnacentral:siRNA from 1 species
UGGACAUAUUCCAGGAUAUGCA